CGUUAGCGGCGGACGGGUGAGUAACACGUGGGUAACCUACCUAUAAGACUGGAAUAACUCCGGGAAACCGGGGCUAAUGCCGGAUAACAUGUUGAACCGCAUGGUUCUACAGUGAAAGACGGUCUUGCUGUCACUUAUAGAUGGACCCGCGCCGUAUUAGCUAGUUGGUGGGGUAACGGCCUACCAAGGCGACGAUACGUAGCCGACCUGAGAGGGUGAUCGGCCACACUGGAACUGAGACACGGUCCAGACUCCUACGGGAGGCAGCAGUAGGGAAUCUUCCGCAAUGGGCGAAAGCCUGACGGAGCAACGCCGCGUGAGUGAUGAAGGUCUUCGGAUCGUAAAGCUCUGUUGUUAGGGAAGAACAAAUGUGUAAGUAACUGUGCACAUCUUGACGGUACCUAACCAGAAAGCCACGGCUAACUACGUGCCAGCAGCCGCGGUAAUACGUAGGUGGCAAGCGUUAUCCGGAAUUAUUGGGCGUAAAGCGCGCGUAGGCGGUUUUUUAAGUCUGAUGUGAAAGCCCACGGCUCAACCGUGGAGGGUCAUUGGAAACUGGAAAACUUGAGUGCAGAAGAGGAGAGUGGAAUUCCAUGUGUAGCGGUGAAAUGCGCAGAGAUAUGGAGGAACACCAGUGGCGAAAGCGGCUUUCUGGUCUGCAACUGACGCUGAUGUGCGAAAGCGUGGGGAUCAAACAGGAUUAGAUACCCUGGUAGUCCACGCCGUAAACGAUGAGUGCUAAGUGUUAGGGGGUUUCCGCCCCUUAGUGCUGCAGCUAACGCAUUAAGCACUCCGCCUGGGGAGUACGGUCGCAAGACUGAAACUCAAAGGAAUUGACGGGGACCCGCAC
rnacentral:rRNA from 1 species